rnacentral:rRNA from 1 species
GAUGAACGCUGGCGGCGUGCCUAAUACAUGCAAGUCGAGCGAACAGACGAGGAGCUUGCUCCUCUGACGUUAGCGGCGGACGGGUGAGUAACACGUGGAUAACCUACCUAUAAGACUGGGAUAACUUCGGGAAACCGGAGCUAAUACCGGAUAAUAUAUUGAACCGCAUGGUUCAAUAGUGAAAUACGGUUUUGCUGUCACUUAUAGAUGGAUCCGCGCCGCAUUAGCUAGUUGGUAAGGUAACGGCUUACCAAGGCAACGAUGCGUAGCCGACCUGAGAGGGUGAUCGGCCACACUGGAACGGAGACACGGUCCAGACUCCUACGGGAGGCAGCAGUAGGGAAUCUUCCGCAAUGGGCGAAAGCCUGACGGAGCAACGCCGCGUGAGUGAUGAAGGUCUUCGGAUCGUAAAACUCUGUUAUUAGGGAAGAACAAAUGUGUAAGUAACUAUGCACGUCUUGACGGUACCUAAUCAGAAAGCAACGGCUAACUACGUG